CCUUUGGAUUUGUUAGUUCUCAGCAUUGACAAAACAGCUGUGUCACUCCAGGCUGGUGCAUGGAAGCAGGCCAUUGUCCUGUAAUUUCCCCCCAAGAGCUUCAGAGAUUACUUAUCUAGAGCUACUGUCUUGCCUUUCUGCUUAUUUGCCCCACAGCCUGUAAAGCUAGAUCAAUACUGUGAUGGGCUGGCCACCCCACACAAGGCCCGAAGGCGUGAAUUAGGCCAAUUAACCUUAGGUUGCACCUGGAGGAAACCCAGGGUGUGCUAGGACCUAACUGCUGAUGAAGUCUGGCUGGGGGAGAAGCUAGGCAGGAUCUGUAAAGAGAGGAGGCUGGUAGGCUGCAGGGAGGAAAACCUGCAGUCAUACUUCUAAGGGGGAAGAACAGGCAGCUGUAAGGGCAGGGUAGGAAGCAGUCCAGGGAAGGGGCAGUAAGAGUUAGGAGAAUAAAAGCCCAGAGAUGCUUGGCAGAGGGUUCCUGGGCUGGAACCCAGGGUAGAGGGUGGGCUGGAUUCCCCUACCACUUGCUGCUGGAGUGACACACUAGAGAGAGCCCAUUUGGGGGUGGCUGGAAGCAGACUUUGAUGAUACCUGGAAGGGAGGAGAACCUUAAUGUGACUUAGCCAGAGGGUUAAGCCAUGAAGAGGAAAGGGUUGCAGGUCCUGAAAUGAAGGCCACGGCGUAAGUGAGUAGACUGAUGGACUGAGUCACUUCAGGGAGGGGCCUCAGACCAGAUGGCAGAGCUAAUUGCCUGGAUGAGCCACAAGGAAGUGCUGCUGAAUGGUACUACUUGUGACCACUUAAACGUCUGCAUUUAGUGGAACAUGUAAGAAACCGUCUCUUUUGGAAGUAGUUUAGAUGAAAAACCAGCCAGUAGAAGAUGCCCCUUCUUCAAGCCAGGAUCACUCCCCAAGGGCUGGACUCAAGGCUGCAAUACCACUAAAUGCAAAAAGGUGAACUGCUGUUUAGAGGAGACUGUAAUCAGGACCCUUUGGGGAUGGACACAGAUAUAAAAGUGAAUACUUCAGAACUAUUCAGCCCAUCGCGAACAAAUACUGCUUUCUUCCAGAGUAAUCCGGUGUAAAGGCAAGAGUUCAGUUUCCUUUAUGCACCAGCUGCAGUGAAACUGAUCUAAGCUGACUUGUGUCUAUUUAGCCAUCCUGAGCCUAGGAGGCAGUGGUUCCAGCUUACAGGUGUGAAUUCCCACUCAGUUCCCUUUAAAAGGGGGGCUUUCACACUGGGGCAGGCUUGAAAAGAAAGCAUUUAAACAAGAGGGCAAUUUACUUUGCCUCCCGUGAUCUGUCUGUCCCUUGCUGUUCCUUCCGCGUCCUCAACAUAUCUGUUGUUUGAAUAAGUUCCUCUCUGCAUCUUUCAGUCCUUCACCUGCCUCUUUCCUUCUCCAGAGGAGUCAUAAAACUACAUUUUAUGGGGCUAUAUUUCCAAAAUGUAGAAGCCAAGUUCUUCAAGCAAAAAAACGACCAUGUAAUAAAUCCACCCCCACCUCCCAUCCCAAUGGACAUGCACAGACUGGACCAAUGUGCACAAAGAUGGCUAGUUAGAGCAGUAUCCUAAGGAUGGAAGUUAGGGCAAAGGAUCAGCUUCGGGCAUCCAGGUGCAAAAGGAAAAACACUUGUUCACAACCAAAUCCUAUUGAGAAUUGGGAUAAUAAAGGAAAAAUACGCAAAGCACAAGAAAGGUCUAGCUGAUUAGGAAAUUAUGGUGUUUUUUUUUUUUUCCCCGUGAAAGAUUUUUUGAGGAAACUGGGGGAAGGGACAUCCUUUUGGGUGAAAUUGUUUGGGGUUUUGUAAAAACAAACCCAUUUUCAGUGGCAAUG